UGGAGAGUAACGUCCUCCGCCGUGAUCCCAGGCUCCUCUCAGGGGGUGGUCGCCACCUGCUAUGAAUGGGUGAACACAUCGGAAUACGUGAGCUGGGUUGCCAGGGCUGUCUGGAGUUUGCAGGGCUGGCUCUGGGAGGUAAAGGAAGGCAAAAGGAAGAAAAAAGGCGACCACACCCCUGGGAGCAGCCCAGGGUUCAGGCCCUCAUCAUCCUAUGCCCUGACACCGUGGCCCAGACUGCUAAGAGCAAGUUCAAGGAACAGAAAGCUCCGCCCGGAAGACCAACAAGAAUGAAAAGAGAACCUUUGGUGUAUCGCACCUGCUAAAUCUCUUAUCAGCCAAAGAAAACCUUACUAAGAACCGACAACGUUGGCAGCCAUUAUCAGAAAUUCAGGGUGAACAGAAAGGCUUGAUUUGACCAAUUUGGAAGAGUUAGGGCUUGAAAUACAACAGCAGAUUAAGUAGGAUAAAUAAAUCAUCUUAUGUUACUUUUCUCUCUCUAGCCAUUUUAUUAGAUGUAAUUUGGAUGUUGC
rnacentral:lncRNA from 1 species